GCCAGUAUGGUAUAGUGGUUUGAGUGUUGGACUACAAAUCUGAAGACCAGGGUUCAAUUCCCCACAUAGCCA